UGAACUUCUGUUUCAUCUUCUGGAAUAUGAGAGAAUGGGGUUCAAUGCUCCCUACGGUCCCGGAGCCGGAAGAUUCAGCGCUGGCCCAGGCCGCCUCGCAAAGCGGGGUCUGGGACCAGAUAGACCUGGACGUCUUGACUACUGUUCGGCUAAGUGAGGGUGGAAAGUUCCUGCCACGCCCCAUCUGGAGAGCAGGCCUUUGCGGCCACGGGCAAAGACGGAAGAACAGGAGGAGCUCAUAGUGAACCAGAGGGGCGAGAAGAAGAAAGCAAAAGGUGCGGUGAUCAUGGAAAUCUCAGUUUGUUCCUGAGGACCCCACGCAGGCAAAACCCAGAGAGGGAAUGUUGACCCAUGAGUUGCUGCGACCCAAAUGAGGAAGAAAGCAUGGAAGGCGGGGUCCGUGUCCCGGGAUCCUUUGCGGCUGUCGUCAGGAGAGAGUUACUUCUUUGUUUACUGAAUGCCCGUCCCACACUGGCAAAGAAGCUCCAAGAGAGAAGGGAAUUGGUCUUUUUUUUGGUUAUUGUCGUGUCCCCGGGGCCUACGACGGGGCCCUGUCAACAGCAAGCGAGCAGUAGACAUUUGUGGAAUGAGAUGAUCUUUGAACCGGUGCUGGGUUUUGUGA